rnacentral:rRNA from 1 species
UACGUAGGGGGGCAAGCGUUGUCCGGAUUUAUUGGGCGUAAAGAGCGUGUAGGCGGCCAGACAGGUCAGCUGUGAAAACUCGAGGCUCAACCUCGAGACGUCGGUUGAAACCGUCUGGCUAGAGUCCGGAAGAGGAGAGUGGAAUUCCCGGUGUAGCGGUGAAAUGCGCAGAUAUCGGGAAGAACACCCGUGGCGAAGGCGGCUCUCUGGGACGGUACUGACGCUGAGACGCGAAAGCGUGGGGAGCGAACGAGG